UACGUAGGGGGCUAGCGUUGUCCGGAAUCAUUGGGCGUAAAGCGCGUGUAGGCGGUUCGGUAAGUCCGCUGUGAAAGUCGGGGGCUCAACCCUCGAAUGCCGGUGGAUACUGUCGGACUAGAGUACGGAAGAGGCGAGUGGAAUUCCUGGUGUAGCGGUGAAAUGCGCAGAUAUCAGGAGGAACACCAAUGGCGAAGGCAGGUCUCUGGGCAUUAACUGACGCUGAGGAGCGAAAGCAUGGGGAGCGAACAGG
rnacentral:rRNA from 1 species